UACAGAGACUGCAAGCGUUAUUCGGAUUCACUGGGCGUAAAGGGUGCGCAGGCGGCCGUGUGUGUGAGGCGUGAAAGCCCGGGGCUUAACCCCGGAAUUGCACCUCAAACUACACGGCUAGAGCAUUGGAGAGGGUAGCAGAAUUCAUGGUGUAGCAGUGAAAUGCGUAGAUAUCAUGAGGAAUAACAGAGGCGAAGGCGGCUACCUGGACAAUUGCUGACGCUCAGGCACGAAAGCGUGGGGAGCAAAAGGG
rnacentral:rRNA from 1 species